rnacentral:rRNA from 1 species
GAUUAAGUUAUUAAGGGCGCACGGUGGAUGCCUUGGCACUAGAAGCCGAUGAAGGACGUUACUAACGACGAUAUGCUUUGGGGAGCUGUAAGUAAGCUUUGAUCCAGAGAUUUCCGAAUGGGGAAACCCAGCAUGAGUUAUGUCAUGUUAUCGAUAUGUGAAUACAUAGCAUAUCAGAAGGCACACCCGGAGAACUGAAACAUCUUAGUACCCGGAGGAAGAGAAAGAAAAUUCGAUUCCCUUAGUAGCGGCGAGCGAAAUGGGAAGAGCCCAAACCAACAAGCUUGCUUGUUGGGGUUGUAGGACACUCUAUACGGAGUUACAAAGGACGACAUUAGACGAAUCAUCUGGAAAGAUGAAUCAAAGAAGGUAAUAAUCCUGUAGUCGAAAAUGUUGUCUCUCUUGAGUGGAUCCUGAGUACGACGGAGCACGUGAAAUUCCGUCGGAAUCUGGGAGGACCAUCUCCUAAGGCUAAAUACUCUCUAGUGACCGAUAGUGAACCAGUACCGUGAGGGAAAGGUGAAAAGCACCCCGGAAGGGGAGUGAAAUAGAACCUGAAACCGUGUGCUUACAAGUAGUCAGAGCCCGUUAAUGGGUGAUGGCGUGCCUUUUGUAGAAUGAACCGGCGAGUUACGAUUUGAUGCAAGGUUAAGCAGUAAAUGUGGAGCCGUAGCGAAAGCGAGUCUGAAUAGGGCGUUUAGUAUUUGGUCGUAGACCCGAAACCAGGUGAUCUACCCUUGGUCAGGUUGAAGUUCAGGUAACACUGAAUGGAGGACCGAACCGACUUACGUUGAAAAGUGAGCGGAUGAACUGAGGGUAGCGGAGAAAUUCCAAUCGAACCUGGAGAUAGCUGGUUCUCUCCGAAAUAGCUUUAGGGCUAGCCUCAAGUGAUGAUUAUUGGAGGUAGAGCACUGUUUGGACGAGGGGCCCCUCUCGGGUUACCGAAUUCAGACAAACUCCGAAUGCCAAUUAAUUUAACUUGGGAGUCAGAACAUGGGUGAUAAGGUCCGUGUUCGAAAGGGAAACAGCCCAGACCACCAGCUAAGGUCCCAAAAUAUAUGUUAAGUGGAAAAGGAUGUGGCGUUGCCCAGACAACUAGGAUGUUGGCUUAGAAGCAGCCAUCAUUUAAAGAGUGCGUAAUAGCUCACUAGUCGAGUGACACUGCGCCGAAAAUGUACCGGGGCU